rnacentral:rRNA from 1 species
UACGGAGGAUCCAAGCGUUAUCCGGAUUUAUUGGGUUUAAAGGGUGCGUAGGCGGGCUAAUAAGUCAGCGGUGAAAUUUUCCGGCUUAACCGGGAGACUGCCGUUGAAACUGUCGGUCUUGAGUGUACAUGAAGUAGGCGGAAUGUGUGGUGUAGCGGUGAAAUGCAUAGAUAUCACACAGAACCCCGAUUGCGCAGGCAGCUUACUAAAGUACCACUGACGCUGAAGCACGAAAGCGUGGGGAUCAAACAGGAUUAGAUACCCUGGUAGUCCACGCAGUAAACGAUGAUAACUAGCUGUUUGCGAUACACAGUAAGCGGCUGAGCGAAAGCGUUAAGUUAUCCACCUGGGGAGUACGCCGGCAACGGUGAAACUCAAAGGAAUUGACGGGGGCCCGCACAAGCGGAGGAACAUGUGGUUUAAUUCGAUGAUACGCGAGGAACCUUACCCGGGCUUGAAAUGCAGAGGAAUAUGGUGGAAACAUUAUAGUCAGCAAUGACCUCUGUGUAGGUGCUGCAUGGUUGUCGUCAGCUCGUGCCGUGAGGUGUCGGCUUAAGUGCCAUAACGAGCGCAACCCCUAUUGUUAGUUACUAUCAGGUCAAGCUGAGGACUCUAACGAGACUGCCACCGUAAGGUGUGAGGAAGGUGGGGAUGACGUCAAAUCAGCACGGCCCUUACGUCCGGGGCUACACACGUGUUACAAUGGGAGGUACAGAGGGCAGCUACCAUGCGAGUGGAUGCGAAUCUUAUAAAACCUCUCCCAGUUCGGAUCGGAGUCUGCAACCCGACUCCGUGAAGCUGGAUUCGCUAGUAAUCGCGCAUCAGCCAUGGCGCGGUGAAUACGUUCCCGGGCCUU